rnacentral:rRNA from 1 species
AUGGACUUUAUUUUGAAUACAACUAGGGGAUAUUCCCUUUUGCUCCUACGUGCAUAUGCACCUAGGAGCAAAAAAGCCGUAUCUUUUAUCACCAAUUAUGAAUCUUUGUUUUGUCAAUAUGCUCUCUGGUAUCUCGAUUAUCAUUUUCUCGAACAAACUUCAGGACCUGAGACAUGGAAGGACACAACAGGUAUAGUGGAUAUGAAAAAUCCAUCCAUAAAGAUAGUGUGUGUGAAACCUUCAGAAAGCACUGCAAUUUCAUGUAAUCCCUUAACCAUACCAUGUGGUGCUAGUUUCAAGCCUUGGACUUCCAACAAAUCAGAAUCAUCAGAAGAGGAUUAUACUUUAUCGAUUACUUGGACUUAA